GACUCUCGUGUCCAUUAUUGCAUUUGAUGGCAUAACAACCUCAGGGUUUUGCCAAGCAUGUGAUUGAUUGUCAUUAUUAUGAUCCCAUCCUAUAGGAGAGGAAAUGGAGAGUCCCAGGCCACACAGUAAGUAAAGAUGGGACAGAGAUUCGGACUUCUGCCUUGUGCUCAGACCUCAACUGUCCCACCCUGUCUCCUGGCCAAGCAGACUCAAGAAAUCCUGGCAGAGAAUGAUAUUCCCUGCUGCUCUGCGGAGAUGACCACUUCGUGGAGAGCAGAGAGAGGAAGGAGGAGAAAAACGAAAAGAAAGGUCCUCUUUCAGGCUUAAGAUGAUGUGGAGUGGCUGCCCCAUGGUCUGCCAAGAGCUGACUCACCAAGCUGGGACGAGGCACUACAGGUGCACUCAGGCCAUCAGACAAUAGGCGCCUGUUGCAAACAGCCCCACGCCCCAGACAGACCACUGGGGUGAGGCAGAGGCAGCCCCAGAGGAAGCAUGAGGGCUGGAAGAGGGGGCAGCAGAGUGUCUGGCCUGGAAGCUGUCACUUUCCAGCCUUCCCAGGGCCCUGCUCUGAGCACUUGCAACCAUAAAGACCUUGUGAUUUUAUGACCAAGGAGUAGGAGCACUGGACCACUGGUGUGGAGCCUCUAAUGUGGGCUUCUUUCCUCAUCUCCCAGCUGGAAAGUACCAGUUCUAACUGCUGCUAGUACACUCUGCGAUGCUGGGAAAGGCACACACCUUUUCCGAGCCUCACUUUACUCCUCGUUGGGUGAAUCCUGCACCUGUAGUAUCUCUUUAAAUCUUCACUGUCCUUUGAAGUAAGUGCCAUUAUUAGUCCCAUUUUAUAGAUGAGGAAACUGAGGCACUGAUCAUCCAACAUGCAUAACUAAGAGCUAAGUCUCAAAGCUAGGGCUGUGUGAGUCUAUGGCCCAUGCAGCUACUUAAGUAGAGACCAGAACCCAGCAGCCUACAUAUUGGCAAACACAAGGCCUGCUCUGGGAGACUGACAGAGGCAACAGGGUGGGCUGGUCAAGAAGCUUCCUGGAGGCGGUGGGGUUGAACAGCUCCUGGCAUGGGCAUGGGCAGUGUGGGAGGUGAGGGCUGGUGCGGUUGGGGUGAGAUGGGAUUCCUAGCUGACUCCUGCAUGUAGCAGAUUGGGGUAGGGGUGGAUGGGCUGGGCGUGGGGCAGGCUGUUCACUGGUCUGCCCAUUGCCAGCUGCAUGUACUUGAGUAAGUUCCAGAGAUGUUUAGCCUUCAGUGUUCUCACCUGUAAAACAGGAAUAAUAAUACCUCAGAAGACUGUAAAUAUAAUAACAUUUAAUUGGUAAAGUGAUUUGACUUUCUCUUCUCUGGGCUGAGGUUUCACUUUUCUCACUUUUCCUUGAGGCCUCUGUGGCCUAGUGCUGGUAUCUCUGACGUCUUCUGUGGCCCAAACCAUCCCUCCUUAUCAGAGUUAACUCCCUGAGUGGGCCCAGCUCUUUCUCACCUGUGUCCCCUUCUUGUCUCCUCUUCCCUGUGUGACCUAAUGCAUCCUGUGCUCUCUGACUCCUCUCCCAGUGGAACCCCUGCCCAAGACCCCCGGAAGCUCUUUCUCUGCCUUCACCCCACUGGUGAGAGAUGAAAUGUAAAUGCCCCAGAGUUGAAUGGUGUAUGGAGACCUGGGUUUGAGGCCUGGCUCCAUCUCACUUACUGGCUGGGUCAGCCACCAGCCCUCACUGAAGUUUCCUGUCUGUAAAACAAGGCUGUUUGGAGGCCCACUCUUAUGGGGGGGCUCCAAGGUGAGCUGACAUGGUUUGAGUCCAUGGCCACAUUUCUGGGGAAGAGGGAUGGAUGAGACUAGGCAGGUGAGGAUAGAGGCAGAGCCUCCCUCCCUCCUCCAGCCCAGAGCUCUCAGGGUUCUUUGUCUGCAGAAAGAAAAUAUCUGCCCUCCUGUGUCAGAGGACAGGGCCUUGAUAAGGAAUUAGGUGAGCAAAUCCAGCCUGCAUAUUAAUCCUUCCUGGCUCUGAGCUGGCAAGGCUUGGGGCCAGCCAGGCAAGGGAGCUGGGCAGGAUGAGGGC
rnacentral:lncRNA from 1 species